UGGAGAGUUUGAUCCUGGCUCAGAACGAACGCUGGCGGCGUGCCUAACACAUGCAAGUCGAACGGUAACAGGACNNNNNNNNNNNNNNNNNNNNGCCCAUAAGUGGGGAACAACUUGGAGAAAUCCAAGCUAAUACCGCAUAAUACCUUCGGGUUAAAGAGGGGGAUCUUCGGACCUCUCGCUUAUGGAUGGUCCCGCGUCUGAUUAGCUAGUUGGUAGGGUAAUGGCCUACCAAGGCAAUGAUCAGUAGCUGGUCUGAGAGGAUGAUCAGUCACACUGGAACUGAGACACGGUCCAGACUCCUACGGGAGGCAGCAGUGGGGAAUUUUGCACAAUGGGCGAAAGCCUGAUGCAGCGACGCCGCGUGCGGGAAGAAGGCCUUCGGGUUGUAAACCGCUUUCAACAGGGAAGAAGGAAUGAGAGCUAAUACCUCUCUGCCUUGACGGUACCUGUAGAAGAAGCACCGGCUAAUUUCGUGCCAGCAGCCGCGGUAAUACGAAAGGUGCAAGCGUUGUUCGGAUUUACUGGGCGUAAAGAGAUCGUAGGUGGCUUGUUAAGUCGGAUGUGAAAUCCCGGGGCUCAACCCCGGAACUGCAUCCGAUACUGGCAGGCUUGAGUUUGGGAGGGGUAAGCGGAAUUCCGUGUGUAGCAGUGAAAUGCGUAGAUAUACGGAGGAACACCUGAGGCGAAGGCGGCUUACUGGA
rnacentral:rRNA from 1 species